UACAGAGACCUCAAACGUUAUCCGGAUUCAUUGGGCGUAAAGGGUCCGCAGGUGUUCCACCAAGUUCCUUGUUAAAUCCCGUGGCUUAACCUCGGGACUGCAGGGAAAACUAGUGGAAUUGAGGAUGUGAGAGGUAUACGGAACUGCCGGUGUAGUAGUAAAAUGCGUUGAUAUCGGCAGGAACACCAAAGGCGAAGGCAGUAUACUGGAACAUUCCUGACACUCAGGGACGAAAGCGUGGGGAGCGAAUGGGAUUAGAAACCCUUGUAGU
rnacentral:rRNA from 1 species